rnacentral:rRNA from 1 species
UAAGAAUCUUCCGCAAUGGGGGAAACCCUGACGGAGCGACGCCGCGUGGACGAUGAAGGCCGUAAGGUUGUAAAGUCCUUUUGCGGGCGAAGAAUAAGCUAGGGAGUGGAGAGCCCUGGUGAUGACGUUAGCCCGCGAAUAAGCCCCGGCCAAUUACGUGCCAGCAGCCGCGGUAAUACGUAUGGGGCAAGCGUUGUUCGGAGUUAUUGGGCGUAAAGGGCGUGUAGGCGGCCCGACAAGUCUGGUGUGAAAUCGCGGGGCUCAACCCUGCGGGUGCGCUGGAAACGGUCGGGCUGGAGUCCCGGGGGGGAAGCUGGAAUUCCUGGUGUAGGAGUGAAAUCUGUAGAGAUCAGGAAGAACACCGGUGGCGAAGGCGAGCUUCUAUUCGAGGACUGACGCUGAGGCGCGAAAGCGUGGGGAGCAAAC